rnacentral:rRNA from 1 species
CCAGACUCCUACGGGAGGCAGCAGUGAGGAAUAUUGGUCAAUGGCCGAGAGGCUGAACCAGCCAAGUCGCGUGAGGGAAGACGGCCCUACGGGUUGUAAACCUCUUUUGUCGGGGAGCAAAGCGAGUCACGUGUGACUCAUUGAGAGUACCCGAAGAAAAAGCAUCGGCUAACUCCGUGCCGGCAGCCGCGGUAAUACGGAGGAUGCGAGCGUUAUCCGGAUUUAUUGGGUUUAAAGGGUGCGUAGGCGGAGUGUCAAGUCAGCGGUAAAAUUUCGGGGCUCAACCCCGUCGUGCCGUUGAAACUGACGCCCUUGAGUGAGUGAGAAGUAAGCGGAAUGCGUGGUGUAGCGGUGAAAUGCAUAGAUAUCACGCAGAACGCCGAUUGCGAAGGCAGCGUACCGGCGCCCAACUGACGCUGAAGCACGAAGGCGUGGGUAUCGAACAGGAUUAGAUACCCCUGUA